ensembl:lncRNA
AAAACUCAAGAUCUUCACAAUUUACCAUCUCAAAGACCUUUAGAUUAGAUUGACCGAAAUAAAAUGUUGAUGUCAUUAAAUUUCUAGGAGUAGUUUGUUAAAGCGUAAAACAUGACACUUCCUGUUGCCAGCAGGUGGCGCUAUGACAAUGACUGAAUAUGGGCAUGUAGAUCUGUUCAGGUCCGGAGUCUUAUCCAACAUGUGAAGUUUGGGGCAGAUUGGACACUGAAUGUCUGAGUUAUAGCAACUUCCUUUUUCAUGGCGAAUCACCGAAAUUUGUCAGGCCGCCACAGACACACCCUUUAACGAAAACUCAAGAUCUUCACAAUUUAACAUCACACAGGCCUUUAGAUUAGACUGACUGAAAAAAACUAUUUGUUGUCUUUCAAUUUCUUAGAGUAGUUCGUCACAGCGUAAAAUAUGUCACUUCCUGUUGCCAAUAGGUGGCGCUAUGACAAUGACUGAAUAUGGGCAUGUAGAUCUGUUCAGGUCCGGAGUUUUAUCCAACAUGUGAAGUUUGGGGCAGAUUGGACAUUGUAUGUCUGAGUUAUAGCAACUUCCUUUUUCAUGGCGAAUCAUCGAAAUUCGUCAGGUCGCCACGGACACGCCCUUCAACGAAAACUCAAGAUCUUCGCAAUUUAACAUCGCAAAGGCCUUUAGAUUAGGCAUACCAAAUUUGGUGUUGAUCUGAAUAAAUCUCUAGGAGGAGUUCGUUAAAGUACAACGCCUGAAAAUGGCAAAAACUACACUCAUUUUGUCGAGAAAAUUAAAAAUAACCGACUUCCUGUUGGUUUUCGGAUUUUGUACCAGGAGACUUUUUUGUAGGUAUUGAUGUGUUACAUGUGUGUACCAAUUUUCGUACAUGUACGUGAAACACAGCUCGAGGCGCACUACGCUGAAAGUGUAUAGGUGGCGCUAUCGAGCCAUUUUGCCACACCCACUUCUGAAACCCAUAUCAGAUGUAAAUUUUCGCCAGUUCUGAUGCGUGUGCAAAGUUUCGUGACUUUUCGAGCAUGUUUAGGCCCUCAAAAUUGCGAUUCAUUUUGGAGAAGAAGAAUAAUAAUAAUAAUAAUAAUAAUAAUAAACGAAGCAAUUCCAAUAGGGUCCUCACACCAUCGGUGCUCGGGCCCUAAUAAUAAUAUAGCUGCAAGCAGCGAUGGCGGGCUCAAGCCAUCAGUGCAAACGCCACCCCGGUGGCAUCAGGUAAACUGUGCCCAGUGGAGACAUACACAAUAACCCUCUAGCACAGGGGUGUCCAACCCUGUUAAUGGCGAUCGACUGUCCUGCAAAGUUUAGCUCCAACCCCUACUCAAACACACCUGAAGCAACUAAUUAAUGUCUUCAGGAUUGCUUGAAAAUUAAAGGUAGGUGUGACUGAUUAGAGUUGGAGCUGAACUUUGCAGGAGAGUCGAUCACCAGGAACAGGAUUGGGCACACUUAAUUUAGCAGUUUGGAUUUAAGGGAUACAGCAAUGAAAGGGUUAAUCCAAACCAUCAAGAGACACACACAACACAAUAUAUAAAACUUGAGUAACACUUCCAAUAAGGUUUCAGUUAUUAACAUUAAUUAUAUUAAAUUACAUUAACAACAACUGUAUGGCAUUUAUUAAUGUGAGUCUCUCUCUCUGUCUUUCUCACACACUCACUUACACACACACACACACACACACACACACACACACACACACACACACACAAAUAAAUUAUUAUUAUUAUUAUUAUUAUUAUUAUUAUUAUUAUUUUUGUAAGACUUUUCAAUAAGGAUUUAGUUUUUAACAUUAUACAAGUUAACAAGUACAUCAUUUAUAUAGCAUUUAUGGAUCUUAGUUAAUAUUAUGUUCAAAAUGGAUUACUACAUUAUUAAUUACAAUUUAUAGUUAAUGUACAUCAGUUACUAUACUAUGAUUUAACAUAUUAAUUUACUAACUAAAAAUUACUAACACAAACAAAUGCAGUAAAAAUAUUUUGUUCAUACUUAGCUUGUACUAAUG